rnacentral:hammerhead_ribozyme from 1 species
GCACUGUUGAAGAGUCCCAUAAUAGGACGAAAUGGCCGUCCAGUGC